rnacentral:rRNA from 1 species
GAUGAACGCUGGCGGCGUGCCUAAUACAUGCAAGUCGAGCGAACAGACGAGGAGCUUGCUCCUCUGACGUUAGCGGCGGACGGGUGAGUAACACGUGGAUAACCUACCUAUAAGACUGGGAUAACUUCGGGAAACCUGAGCUAAUACCGGAUAACAUGUUGAACCGCAUGGUUCAACAGUGAAAGACGGUCUUGCUGUCACUUAUAGAUGGAUCCGCGCCGCAUUAGCUAGUUGGUAAGGUAACGGCUUACCAAGGCAACGAUGCGUAGCCGACCUGAGAGGGUGAUCGGCCACACUGGACCUGAGACACGGUCCAGACUCCUACGGGAGUCAGCAGUAGGGAAUCGGCCGCAAUGGGCGAAAGCCUGACGGGGCAACGCCGCGUGAGUGAAGAAGGUCUUCGGAUCGUAAAACUCUGUUAUUAGGGAAGAACAAAUGUGUAAGUACAUAUGCACGUCUUGACGGUACCUAAUCAGAAAGCCACGGCUAACUACGUG